GAUGAAGAACGUAGCGAAAUGCGAUAAGUAAUGUGAAUUGCAGAAUUCAGUGAAUCAUCGAAUCUUUGAACGCACCUUGCGCCCCUUGGUUAUUCCAAAGGGCAUGCCUGUUUGAGUAUCAUGAGCACCUCAACUCUUGUGGUUUCCCACAAUGAGCUUGGACUGUGGAGGUUUUGUUGGCCCUGUGGUCAGCUCCUCUCAAAUGGAUCAGCUUACCGGUGUUUGGUGGCAUUACGGGUGUGAUAACUAUCUACGCUCGUGGUCGUCUCCAAAUAACCUCCAGUGAUGGAGGUUCGCUGGAGCUUAUAAAUGUCUCUCCCCAGUGAAGACAGCCUUUGAACGUUCGAUCUCAAAUCAGGUAGGACUACCCGCUGAACUUAAGCAUAUCAAUAAGCGGAGGA
rnacentral:misc_RNA from 1 species